rnacentral:misc_RNA from 1 species
AACGCACAUUGCGCCCGCCAGAAUUCUGGCGGGCAUGCCUGUUCGAGCGUCAUUUCAACCCUCGAGCUCCCCUCUUUUGGGAGAGCCCGGCGUUGGGGACCCGGCGCUAACACCGCCGGCCCCGAAAUGGAGUGGCGGCCCGUCCGCGGCGACCUCUGCGUAGUAAUAUCCACUCGCACCGGGACCCGGGCGCGGCCACGCCGUUAAACACCCCACCUUCCGAAUGUUGACCUCGAAUCAGGUAGGAAUACCCGCUGAACUUAA